rnacentral:rRNA from 1 species
GACGAACGCUGGCGGCGUGCUUAACACAUGCAAGUCGAACGGAAAGGCCCUGCUUUUGUGGGGUGCUCGAGUGGCGAACGGGUGAGUAACACGUGAGUAACCUGCCCUUGACUUUGGGAUAACUUCAGGAAACUGGGGCUAAUACCGGAUAGGAGCUCCUGCUGCAUGGUGGGGGUUGGAAAGUUUCGGCGGUUGGGGAUGGACUCGCGGCUUAUCAGCUUGUUGGUGGGGUAGUGGCUUACCAAGGCUUUGACGGGUAGCCGGCCUGAGAGGGUGACCGGCGACAUUGGGACUGAGAUACGGCCCAGACUCCUACGGGAGGCAGUAGUGGGGAAUAUUGCACAAUGGGCGGAAGCCUGAUGCAGCAACGUCGCGUGCGGGAUGACGGCCUUCGGGUUGUAAACCGCAUUAGCCUGUGACGAAGCGUGAGUGACGGUAAUGGGUAAAGAAGCACCGGCUAACUACGUG